GGAGAACCUGCGGCUGGAUCACCUCCUUUCUAUGGAGAAAUCUAGCAAACAUGGCGUUUGACUAGUACAAAGAUGCAAAGCAUCUAUAAAAAUUACAACUUGCUCAAAGGUUACUUAAUGAGUAUUGAUUCUGUUCAAUUUUGAGGGAUUUUCCUUCAAGAAUAUAUGGGCUUAUAGCUCAGCUGGUUAGAGCGCACGCCUGAUAAGCGUGAGGUCGAUGGUUCGAGUCCAUUUAAGCCCACCAUAUUGUUCUUUGAAAAUUGCAUAUUAAUAAUUGUAUAAAAUACAACAAAGCCAAGAAUAAAUAUUCUUUGUGAAUGAUUAAUAUAACCAGUUUUGUAUAUCAAAACUUAAAAAGGUCAAGCUACAAAGGGCGCAUGGUGAAUGCCUUGGCAUCAGGAGCCGAUGAAGGACGUGAUAAGCUGCGAUAAGCUUCGGGUAGGCGCACAUAGCCAGAGAUCCGGAGAUUU
rnacentral:misc_RNA from 1 species